rnacentral:lncRNA from 1 species
CUGGCCAGGCGGGAGGGGCGGGGACGCAGCCGGAAGGCUGGAGGUUCCUGGAAGGCCUCUCCAAAUCCUUCCAACCCGAACAAUGGAAGGGAAGAAGGAAAGGAGGGGCUGAGGAAGGAAACAGACACUGACCAAAGCCCAGAGGUUGGAAACCAUGGCCACAUAAGACAUGCUGGCUUCUCCUUCACUUUCCACCAUGAUUGUAAGUUUCCUGAGACCUCCCCAGCCAUGCUUCCUGUAUAGCCUGCAGAACUCUCUUAAAAGCAGAGAUGAAGAGAAAAGAGUGAGUUCAAAAGACAGAGCAUGAGAAAGACCCCACCCGCUAUUACUGGCUUUGAAGAUGGAGAGAAGAGGCCACAAGCCAAGGAAUGCAGCAGCUUCCAGAAGCAUGAAAGAGCCCUUAGGUUACAGCCAGCAAGGGAAGGAAACUGCGACCCUACAGCCACAAGACUUGACUUCUGCCAACAGCCAGAAGGAGCAGGAAAUACGUUCUCCCUGAGAGCCUCCAGAAAGGAACACAGUCUGCCCACACCUUAAUUUUAGCCUGGGGAGGCCCAUACCAGGUCUCUGCUUUACAGAAUUGUAAGAUAAUAAAUUUGGAGUUUUUUUAAACUACUAAAUUUGUGGUCAUUUGUAAAGGCAGUAACAGAAAAACUAAAACACUUUACUAUCUAUACGUAGAUUUAACUGCUUUUUUUUUUUUUCUUUUUAAGAGAUGGUCUCACUCUGUUGCCCAAGUUGGAGUACAGAGGUGCAAUCAUAUCUCACUGCAGCCUUGAACUCCUGGGCUCAAGCCAUCCUCCCACCUCAGGCUCCUGGAUAACUGGGACUACAGGCACACCACCAUGCCUGGCUAAUUUUUUUUUUCUUUUUUUUUUUUAGAGAUGAGGUCUUGCUAUGUUGCCCAGCUGGUCUCAAAUUCCUAGCUUCAAAUGAUCCUCCCACCUUGGCCUCCCAAAGCUCUGGGAAUGAAGGCAUGAGCCACCAUGCCCAGUCUAGAUUUAACUUUUAAAUACAGUUCUAUUUUUAUAGGGGGGGAAAAUCCCAAAAUAGAAUAACAAGCAGGUUUUCUUUUACUCAGUUAACUAUUCCUAAGAGAAACCUUGAUAUUCUGGAUAUUUGAACCCUGAGACUAAUCCAGGCACCCUUUUCUCCUGGUAGCAGCUUGUGCAAUGAGGU